CCUGGGAGAGGCUGGAGGCCGGUGGACUCAGGAAGCUCACUCUUUGGGUGAGGGCAAACAGCCUCCUGGAUUCUCCUCUGGGCCAGGAGCCAGCGAGAGUGAAGGUGCCAGGCCCUGGUUUGUUUCAGAAUUUUCAAUUGCGUGGAGUAAAUGCUUUCCACCACAGGUUAUAUGUUUGGCUGUUGCUUGUGAUGAUUCAAACUGAGAGCAACACAUUUCCCACACCUGCAAGUGGGUCACGUAAGAGUUACAGGGAACAAACACCUCAAGAGUCCAUUAACGCUGAGCUGAGAACUGAGGUUUAAAUACUGCAAGGUGGAAAUGAGACACAGACAUCGCAGGAAGAAAUUUAUAACAUAUGCAGCCCUCCAUGACCCGCUACAGGGAGCGUUGAUUACUCCAUGUAGAAAGAGUGUAUUUGUGAGUCCAGAGCGGCUCCCAGGUCUUGACCAUCCUCACAGGAACAGUCUAGAAAUAAAAGCAACACUGAUACAAAACCUUCUUCUUUGUUAGCACAAGAUCUAGGAGAUUGUUUCUUAUCAACACAUAUUUUUUUUUUUUUACCCUGAAGCUUACAUUACCAAAGUGAUAAAAGAAAAGUUACUAUCAGCUGCAGUUUAUUCAGGGCAGAAUUUUAAAAAUCAUUUAUUCAUGAAUCUGGAAUGGAUUCCCUCUCCUCCAACCCCUACACGCAUGAUGACAAGAGGAAAAGAUGGCAAACAAUGGUGUCCAGUCUUAUUACACAGUGAGGAUACGAUUCUCAAGUCAGUCUACUGAUCACAACAAAGAGGACACUACCAUCAAUGAACUCAACACGACCACGUUUAAGAAGUUCAUCAAAAUCGGGUCUUUCUUAUGAAAGAGGAUUUGGAGUACAACCUCAGACAAGAAUCACAGCACAGUUCUCUCUUACAAUGUCUAUUUCACCGCACUCUGCCUACAGAGAGGAGCUAGCUAGUCAAGUUCAGAGUUCACUGGGGGGGUUGCCUUGCAAGUUUCAACCUCAGGCUCUUAGUCUCCUGGAGGUCAGAUCAGCUAAUAUAGAUGUAUGUGUGUGUGUGUAUGUGUGUGUGUGUGUGAUCAGCUAAUGUCCAGAUGUGUGUGUGUGUGUGUGUGAUCAGCUAAUGUCCAGAAGUGUGUGUGUGUCAGAGAUCAGCUACUGUCCAGAAGUGUGUGUGUGUGUGUGUCAGAGAUCAGCUAAUGUCCAGAAGUGUGUGUGUGAGAUCAGCUAAUGUCCAGAAGUGUGUGUGUGUGUGUGUGUGAGAGAGAUCAGCUAAUGUCCAGAAGUGUGUGUGUGUGUGUGUGUGUGUGUGAGAGAGAGAGAUCAGCUAAUGUCCAGAAGUGUGUGUGUGUGUGCACGUGCACGCACGUACUCAGUCACUCAGUCCUGACUCUUUGUGACCCCAUGGACUGCAGCCCACCAGGCUCCUUUGUCCAUGGGAUUUUCCAGGCAAGAAUACUGGAGUGGGUUGCCAUUUUCUUCUCCAGGGGAUCUUUCCAACCCAGGGAUCAAAACCAUGUCUCUGGAGUUUCCUGCCAAUGAAAGUGAAAG
ensembl:lncRNA